rnacentral:tRNA from 1 species
GCGAGGAUGGCGGAACUGGCAGACGCGCCAGACUUAGGAUCUGGUGCCCAACGGCAUGGGGGUUCAACUCCCCCUCCUCGCACCA